rnacentral:rRNA from 1 species
GUGGGGAAUAUUGGGCAAUGGGCGAAAGCCUGACCCAGCAACGCCGCGUGAAGGAAGAAGGUCUUCGGAUCGUAAACUUCUAUCCUUGGUGAAGAUAAUGACGGUACCCCGCGAAUAAGCCCCGGCUAACUACGUGCCAGCAGCCGCGGUAAUACGUAGGGGGCGAGCGUUGCUCGGAUUGACUGGGCGUAAAGCGCGCGUAGGCGGUCCAUUAAGUGUGUGGUGAAAUUCGGAGGCUCAACCUCCGUCCCGCCGCGCAAACUGAUGGUCUUGAGAUUGGGAGGGGGAUGCGGAAUUCCUGGUGUAGCGGUGAAAUGCGUAGAUAUCGGGAGGAACACCAGUGGCGAAGGCGGCUUCCUGGCACAAUACUGACGCUCAUGUGCGAAAGCUAGGGCAGCGAACGGGAUUAGAAACCCGAGUAGUCC